UACGGAGGGUGCGAGCGUUGUCCGGAAUCAUUGGGCGUAAAGGGCGCGUAGGUGGCCGAGUAAGCGUGCGGUGAAAGCUCGGGGCUCAACCCCGAGUCGGCCGUGCGAACUACUCAGCUCGAGCACUGUAGAGGCAGGCGGAAUUCCGGGUGUAGCGGUGGAAUGCGUAGAGAUCCGGAAGAACAUCGGUGGCGAAGGCGCUCUGCUGGACCAUAACUGACACUCAGGGACGAAAGCUAGGGGAGCGAAUGGG
rnacentral:rRNA from 1 species